rnacentral:rRNA from 1 species
AGGGCGUACUAAUCUGCGAUAAGCGCCGGUAAGGUGAUAUGAACCGUUAUAACCGGCGAUACCCGAAUGGGGAAACCCAGUGUGAUUCGUCACACUAUCAUUAACUGAAUCCAUAGGUUAAUGAGGCGAACCGGGGGAACUGAAACAUCUAAGUACCCCGAGGAAAAGAAAUCAACCGAGAUUCCCCCAGUAGCGGCGAGCGAACGGGGAGGAGCCCAGAGCCUGAAUCAGCAUGUGUGUUAGUGGAAGCGUCUGGAAAGGCGCGCGAUACAGGGUGACAGCCCCGUACACAAAAGCGCAUGUGCUGUGAGCUCGAUGAGUAGGGCGGGACACGUGGUAUCCUGUCUGAAUAUGGGGGGACCAUCCUCCAAGGCUAAAUACUCCUGACUGACCGAUAGUGAACCAGUACCGUGAGGGAAAGGCGAAAAGAACCCCGGCGAGGGGAGUGAAAAAGAACCUGAAACCGUGUACGUACAAGCAGUGGGAGCCCCACCACCAAAGCAUUUGCUGUACCGC